GGUGCUUAGCUCAACUGGAAGAGCGUCGCCCUUACAAGGCGAAGGUCGCAGGUUCGA
rnacentral:tRNA from 1 species